rnacentral:rRNA from 1 species
ACCAGACUCCUACGGGAGGCAGCAGUGGGGAAUAUUGCACAAUGGGCGAAAGCCUGAUGCAGCAACGCCGCGUGAAGGAAGAAGGGUUUCGGCUCGUAAACUUCUAUCAACAGGGACGAAAGAAAUGACGGUACCUGAGUAAGAAGCCCCGGCUAACUACGUGCCAGCAGCCGCGGUAAUACGUAGGGGGCAAGCGUUAUCCGGAUUUACUGGGUGUAAAGGGAGCGUAGACGGCGGCGCAAGUCCGGAGUGAAAGCCCACGGCCCAACCGUGGGACUGCUCUGGAAACUGUGCGGCUUGAGUGCGGGAGGGGCAGGCGGAAUUCCUAGUGUAGCGGUGAAAUGCGUAGAUAUUAGGAAGAACACCAGUGGCGAAGGCGGCUUUCUGGACUGAAACUGACGCUGAGGCACGAAAGCGUGGGGAGCGAACAGGAUUAGAUACCCGUGUAAC